rnacentral:lncRNA from 1 species
UCGUUCUUAUUUAGCGAUGGGUAUUUGACAAUUUAUAUAAUGUGUUCUAUUGUGAGGAUUUAUCACAAGCCUUGUUAUUUUUUACUUGAGCCGAGGAUCUUGCUGAAACAUCCUCUCUACCUCCACGAGGUAGGGGUAAGGUUCACGUACACUCUACCUCCCCAGACCUCACUUGUUACACUGGGAAUAUUGUUGUUGUUCUGAGGAUUCAUCGCAAUUCGACUAGUUGUACGGUGGCCAGUCUAUCACAAUCGUUCUCGCUUAUCCGGUUACGAUGUAGGGGUAAGGUUCACGUACACUCUACCUCCCCAGACCCCACUUGUUGGAAUACACUGGGAAUAUUGUUGUUGUUCUGAGGAUUCAUCGCAAUGCGACUAGUUGUACGAUGGCCAGUCUAUCACAAUCUUCUUCCUAAUCCGGUUGGGACCAGCGAUAUGAGCAAGCUCACACAUAGUUGGGAUUCAUAUAGCGACCCUAUCUUUCUUGCGAUUUAGGCGUUGUUAUUGUUGUUACAUGACGUGUUCUAUUCCCUUACGGUUAAAAUUCUUUUCGUGUUGCAGUUGAGACCAAAGCGAGCUGCGGCUGAAAAUCUAGCACCAGAGCAUGGAUCGAAGCAUCAUAGGGUAUCCACCUGAGACGCUUCUCUUUACGUGCUACUGUGGGGUCGGGGAAGAAGAUGAGGUAAUGCAAAUUGUGGUGGUUGCGAACGGGACGAUACACAACUUUGUUUUAGAAGAUUAACUAACUUAUAAAUAGGUUAAAAUCUUCUGGUUUCGCUGCAUAUUUCUGUAAAUAUUUGUUGUAAUGAUGCAGAUGCAUGUUGUAAAACUCUGAAAGAGAUUGUUUGCAAAUUGUCAUUUAGCAAAUGAGAUGUGCACAUAAUGAAAAUGUUAUGUUGGUUGAGAUUUUGAUUUGGGAGAGUUACUUUAUUUCUUUUUCGUGUUGCAGUUGAGACCAAAGCGAGCUGCGGCUGAAAAUCUAGCACCAGAGCAUGGAUCGAAGCAUCAUAGGGUAUCCACUUGAGACGCUUCUCUUUACGUGCUACUGUGGGGUCGGGGAAGAACAUGAGGUAAUGCAAAUUGUGGUGGUUGCGAACGGGACGAUACACAACUUUGUUUUAGAAGAUUAACUAACUUAUAAAUAGGUUAAAAUCUUCUGGUUUUGCUGCAUAUUUCUGUAAAUAUUUGUUGUAAUGAUGCAGAUGCAUGUUGUAAAACUCUGAAAGAGAUUGUUUGCAAAUUGUCAUUUAGCAAAUGAGAUGUGCACAUAAUGAAAAUGUUAUGUUGGUUGAGAUUUUGAUUUGGGAGAGUU